AUUGAACGCUGGCGGCAUGCCUUACACAUGCAAGUCGAACGGUAACAGGUCUUCGGAUGCUGACGAGUGGCGAACGGGUGAGUAAUACAUCGGAACGUGCCUAGUAGUGGGGGAUAACUACUCGAAAGAGUGGCUAAUACCGCAUGAGAUCUACGGAUGAAAGCAGGGGAUCGCAAGACCUUGUGCUACUAGAGCGGCCGAUGGCAGAUUAGCUAGUUGGUGGGGUAAAGGCCUACCAAGGCGACGAUCUGUAGCGGGUCUGAGAGGAUGAUCCGCCACACUGGGACUGAGACACGGCCCAGACUCCUACGGGAGGCAGCAGUGGGGAAUUUUGGACAAUGGGCGCAAGCCUGAUCCAGCAAUGCCGCGUGCAGGAAGAAGGCCUUCGGGUUGUAAACUGCUUUUGUACGGAGCGAAAAGGCUCUCUCUAAUACAGGGGGCUGAUGACGGUACCGUAAGAAUAAGCACCGGCUAACUACGUGCCAGCCGCCGCAGUAA
rnacentral:rRNA from 1 species